UCUCCUGUAGCUCAGUGGUAGGACGUCCGACUGGUGUGUGGAAGGUCAUAGGUUGACUCCUGUUGGGAGAA